GCCUUCGUGGUGUAACGGUAGCACACUCGGCUUAUAUUUGAGAGGUCCAAGGUCCGAGUUCCGGUGAAGGCA
rnacentral:tRNA from 1 species